UGGGUCGGCCAGACGGUCGCGCGCCGCGUAAGCGGCCCGAGGAACGUCCGGGCUCCAUAGAGCAGGAUGGUGGAUAACGUCCACCCGGGGUAACCCGCGAGCCAGUGCAACAGAAAGCAAACCGCCCGCAAGGGUAAGGGUGAAAGGGUGGGGUAAGAGCCCACCGAACGUCCGGUGACGGACGUUGCAUGGUAAACCUCAUCCGGAGCAAGGCCAACAGGGAACGUCGACGCUGCUCGCCGAGUUCCCGGGUGUGCUGCUAGAGCGGCGCGGUAACGCGUCGCCGAGAUAGAUGGCCGUCACGGCAUAGCCGUACAGAACCCGGCGUAUCGGCCGGCCCACUCA
rnacentral:RNase_P_RNA from 1 species